UACGGGGGGGGCAAGCGUUGUUCGGAAUUACUGGGCGUAAAGGGCGCGUAGGCGGCCAUCUAAGUCAGACGUGAAAUCCCUCGGCUCAACCGAGGAACUGCGUCUGAUACUGGAUGGCUUGAGAUUGGGAGAGGGAUGCGGAAUUCCAGGUGUAGCGGUGAAAUGCGUAGAUAUCUGGAGGAACACCGGUGGCGAAGGCGGCAUCCUGGACCAACACUGACGCUGAGGAGCGAAAGCCAGGGGAGCAAACGGG
rnacentral:rRNA from 1 species